AUUGAACGCUGGCGGCAGGCUUAACACAUGCAAGUCGAACGGUAACAGGAAGAAGCUUGCUUCUUUGCUGACGAGUGGCGGACGGGUGAGUUAUGUCUGGGAAACUGUCUGAUGGAGGGGGACAACUACUGGAAACGGUAGCUACUACCGCAUAACGCCGCAAGACCAAAGAGGGGGACCUUCGGGCCUCUUGCCAUCGGAUGUGCCCAGAUGGGAUUAGCUAGUAGGGGGGGUAACGGUUCACCUAGGCGGCGAUCCCUAGCCGGUCUGAGAGGAUGGCAGGCCGCCCUGGAACUGGGACACGGUCCAGACUCCUACGAGAGGCAGCAGUGGGGAAUGUUGCGCAGUGGGGGCGAGCCUGAUGCAGCCGUGCCGCGUGUAUGGAGAAGGCCUUCGGGUUGUAAAGUACUUUCAGCGGGGGUGAAGGGAGUAAAGUUGAUACCAUUGCUCAUUGACGUUACCCGCAGAAGAAGCACCGGCUAACUCCGUG
rnacentral:rRNA from 1 species